rnacentral:rRNA from 1 species
GCCAACGUUCAUAUCACGUUGAAUACACCAGUUCUCGUCCGAUCACUGAAGUUAAGCAACGUUGAGCGUGGAUAGUACUUUCUACAAUGCUGCAGUGAGCACCAAAGUUGUGAUAUAGUAA